CUUGCCUCCAUAAGAGGUCCAGCCUGCCCAGUGACCUAGUUCAACGGCCGCGGUAUCCUAACCGUGCGAAGGUAGCGUAAUCACUUGUCUUCUAAAUAAAGACUAGUAUGAAAGACACCACGAGAACUUAACUGUCUCCCUUUUCUAAUCAGUGAAACUAAUCUCCCCGUGAAGAAGCGGGGAUCUUCAAAUUAGACGAGAAGACCCUAUGGAGCUUUAAACACUAACCACUUGCCCGCACAUUAAUUACCCAGGUUUCCUCAAUCAACGCAAUAUGAUUACGUGUUUUUGGUUGGGGUGACCGCGGAAAAUAACUAAACUUCCACAAUGAUAACCAUCCAAACUAUAAGCUACAGCUUUAAGUAUCAACAAAUUGACAUUCAUUGACCCAAUAUAUUGAUUAAUGAAC
rnacentral:rRNA from 1 species